CCAAUAGCGUAUAUUAAAGUUGUUGCAGUUAAAAAGCUCGUAGUUGAACUUCGGGGUCUACCCAUUGGUCAGGCUUAAUUGUCUGCACUGGUGAGAUGGAUCUCUACCUUCUGAGGAACUUUCAUGCCAUUUAUUUGGUGUGAUUGGAAAUCAGGACUGUUACUUUGAAAAAAUUAGAGUGUUUAAAGCAGACUAUCGUCUGAAUACAUUAGCAUGGAAUAAUGAAAUAGGACGGACUGAUUCUAUUUCGUUGGUUUCUAGGAUCACCGUAAUGAUUAAUAGGGAUAGUUGGGGGCAUUAGUAUUCAAUUGUCAGAGGUGAAAUUCUUGGAUUUAUUGAAGACUAACUACUGCGAAAGCAUUUGCCAAGGAUGUUUUCAUUAAUCAAGAACGAAAGUUAGGGGAUCGAAGACGAUCAGAUACCGUCGUAGUCUUAACCAUAAACUAUGCCGACUAGGGAUCGGACGAAGUUAAUUUUAUAAUGACGCGUUCGGCACCUUACA
rnacentral:misc_RNA from 1 species